ACGGGAGGCAGCAGUCGGGAAUAUUGCGCAAUGGAGGAAACUCUGACGCAGUGACGCCGCGUAUAGGGAGAAGGUUUUCGGAUUGUAAACUAUUUUAGACAGGGAAGAUACAAGACAGUACCUGUAGAAUAAGCUCCGGCUAACUACGUGCCAGCAGCCGCGGUAAUACGUAGGGAGCAAGCGUUAUCCGGAUUUAUUGGGUGUAAAGGGUGCGUAGACGGGAAUUUAAGUUAGUUGUGAAAUCCCUCGGCUCAACUGAGGAACUGCAACUAAAACUGGAUUUCUUGAGUGCGGGAGAGGAAAGCGGAAUUCCUAGUGUAGCGGUGAAAUGCGUAGAUAUUAGGAGGAACACCAGUGGCGAAGGCGGCUUUCUGGACCGUAACUGACGUUGAGGCUCGAAAGCGUGGGGAGCAAACAGGAUUAGAUACCCUGGUA
rnacentral:rRNA from 1 species